CCUACGGGUGGCUGCAGUGGGGAAUAUUGGACAAUGGGGGCAACCCUGAUCCAGCCAUGCCGCGUGUGUGAAGAAGGCCCUCGGGUUGUAAAGCACUUUCAGUGAGGAAGAACGCCUGGUGGUUAAUACCCAUCAGGAAAGACAUCACUCACAGAAGUAGCACCGGCUAACUCCGUGCCAGCAGCCGCGGUAAUACGGAGGGUGCGAGCGUUAAUCGGAAUUACUGGGCGUAAAGCGCGCGUAGGUGGCUUGAUAAGCCGGUUGUGAAAGCCCCGGGCUCAACCUGGGAACGGCAUCCGGAACUGUCAAGCUAGAGUGCAGGAGAGGAAGGUAGAAUUCCCGGUGUAGCGGUGAAAUGCGUAGAGAUCGGGAGGAAUACCAGUGGCGAAGGCGGCCUUCUGGACUGACACUGACACUGAGGUGCGAAAGCGUGGGUAGCAAACAGGAUUAGAUACCCCUGUAGUC
rnacentral:rRNA from 1 species